CCUACGGGAGGCUGCAGUGGAGAAUAUUGGACAAUGGGGGCAACCCUGAUCCAGCCAUGCCGCGUGUGUGAAGAAGGCCCUCGGGUUGUAAAGCACUUUCAGUGAGGAAGAACGCCUGGUGGUUAAUACCCAUCAGGAAAGACAUCACUCACAGAAGAAGCACCGGCUAACUCCGUGCCAGCAGCCGCGGUAAUACGGAGGGUGCGAGCGUUAAUCGGAAUUACUGGGCGUAAAGCGCGCGUAGGUGGCUUGAUAAGCCGGUUGUGAAAGCCCCGGGCUCAACCUGGGAACGGCAUCCGGAACUGUCAAGCUAGAGUGCAGGAGAGGAAGGUAGAAUUCCCGGUGUAGCGGUGAAAUGCGUAGAGAUCGGGAGGAAUACCAGUGGCGAAGGCGGCCUUCUGGACUGACACUGACACUGAGGUGCGAAAGCGUGGGUAGCAAACAGGAUUAGAUACCCCGGUAGUC
rnacentral:rRNA from 1 species